GAUGAACGCUAGCUACAGGCUUAACACAUGCAAGUCGAGGGGAAACGAUAUUGGAAGCUUGCUUCCGAUAGGCGUCGACCGGCGCACGGGUGAGUAACGCGUAUCCAACCUGCCCAUCACUUGGGGAUAACCCUUGCGAAAGUAAGACUAAUACCCAAUGACGUCUCUAGAAGACAUCUGAAAGAGAUUAAAGAUUUAUCGGUGAUGGAUGGGGAUGCGUCUGAUUAGCUUGUUGGCGGGGUAACGGCCCACCAAGGCGACGAUCAGUAGGGGUUCUGAGAGGAAGGUCCCCCACAUUGGAACUGAGACACGGUCCAAACUCCUACGGGAGGCAGCAGUGAGGAAUAUUGGUCAAUGGACGAGAGUCUGAACCAGCCAAGUAGCGUGCAGGAAGACGGCCCUAUGGGUUGUAAACUGCUUUUAUAAGGGAAUAAAGUGAGUCUCGUGAGACUUUUUGCAUGUACCUUAUGAAUAAGGACCGGCUAAUUCCGUGCCAGCAGCCGCGG
rnacentral:rRNA from 1 species